GACGAACGCUGGCGGCGUGGAUUAGGCAUGCAAGUCGAACGGUAUCAUCCUUUCGGGGGUGAGAGAGUGGCGAACUGGUGAGUAACACGUAGGUUAUCUACCCUCAAGACGGGGACAACCCAGGGAAACUUGGGCUAAUACCGGAUGUGAGCAACUUUUAGUUGUUUGAAAGGUGGCGUAAGCUGUCGCUUGGGGAUGAGCCUGCGUCCUAUUAGUUAGUUGGUGAGGUAACGGCUCACCUAGGCAAUGAUAGGUAGGCGGCCUUAACGGGUGGUCGCCCACACUGGGAUUGAGAUACGGCCCAGACUCCUACGGGAGGCAGCAGUCGAGAAUAGUCUACAAUGGUCGGAAGACUGAUAGUGCGACGCCGCGUGAACGAUGAAUCCCUUCGGGGUGUAAAGUUCUUUUAUAUGUGAGCAGUGCUUCUUAUAUUAACAGUAUGGGGAGAGAGAUAUUAGCAUAUGAAUAAAGCAACGGCUAACUCCGUGCCAGCAGCCGCGGUAAAACGU
rnacentral:rRNA from 1 species